GAUGAACGCUAGCGGCAGGCCUAACACAUGCAAGUCGAGGGGCAUCGCGGUGCAGCAAUGCACUGGCGGCGACCGGCGUACGGGUGCGUAACGCGUAUGCAACCUGCCCCGCACCGGGGGAUAGCCCGCCGAAAGGCGGAUUAAUACCCCAUGGUCCCGGGGGCCCGCAUGGGCAUCCGGGUAAAGCCUUGGCGGUGCGGGAUGGGCAUGCGUGCCAUUAGCUGGCUGGUGGGGUAACGGCCCACCAGGGCAACGAUGGCUAGGGGGGUCUGAGAGGAUGGUCCCCCACACUGGUACUGAGACACGGACCAGACUCCUACGGGAGGCAGCAGUGAGGAAUAUUGGUCAAUGGGCGGAAGCCUGAACCAGCCAUGCCGCGUGCGGGAUGAAGGCCCUACGGGUUGUAAACCGCUUUUCCCCGGGAAGAAUAACCCCGAUGAGUCGGGGGAUGCCGGUACCGGGGGAAUAAGGAUCGGCUAACUCCGUG
rnacentral:rRNA from 1 species